rnacentral:rRNA from 1 species
UGGAUCAUAAAGUCUUCAAAAAAGAAUAGAUACGAUUACAUUCGAUGUAGUAACGGAUGCGAUCAUACCAGCAUUAAUGCACCGGAUCCCAUCAGAACUCUACAGUUAAGCGUGCUUGGGUGAGAGUAGUACUAGGAUGGAUGACCUCUCGGAAAGUCCUCGUGUUGCAUCCCUC